GAUGAACGCUGGCGGCGUGCUUAACACAUGCAAGUCGAACGAAGCACUUGAGGACGAUUCUUCGGAUGAGAACUUUUGUGACUUAGUGGCGGACGGGUGAGUAACGCGUGGGUAACCUGCCUCACACAGGGGGAUAACAGUUGGAAACGACCGCUAAUACCGCAUAACCCGCUGGUGCCGCAUGGCACUGACGGAAAAGAUUUUAUCGGUGUGAGAUGGACCCGCGUCUGAUUAGCCAGUUGGCAGGGUAACGGCCUACCAAAGCGACGAUCAGUAGCCGGCCUGAGAGGGUGAACGGCCACAUUGGGACUGAGACACGGCCCAA
rnacentral:rRNA from 1 species